GACAAAAAACAACCCAGCUUUAUUGAAAUAUAAUUCACACACCAUACAACUCACCCAUGUAAAGUGUACAAAUCAGUGGUUUUUAGUAUAUUCACAGAUAUGUGCAACCACAGUCAAAUUUAGAUCAUUUUUAUCACCUCAAAAAGAAAUCCUGUACCUUUUACACUCAUCCUCAUAUCUCCCCAACUUCCUUCUAGUCCUAAGCAACCACUAAUCUACUUUCUACCUCUAUAGAUUUGCCUAGUAUGGAAAUUUCAUAUAAAUGGAAUAUGACUACCAUAUGUUGUCUUUUGUGACUGGCUUCUUUCACUUAGCAUGGUAUUUUCAAUGUUCAUUUACAAUAUAGCAUGCAUUAGUAUUUCAUUCACCACCCCCAACUCUUUGUUUUUUUGAGACUGGGUCUCACUCCAUUGCCUAGGCUGGAGUACAGUGGCACGAUCACAGCUCACUGCAGCCUUGACCUCCCAGGCUCAGGUGAUCCACUCACCUGAGCUUCCCGAGUAGCUGGGACUACAGGCAUGCACCACAACUCCUGGCAAAUUUUUGUAUUUUUUGUAGAGACAGGGUUUUGCCAUGUUGCUCAGGCUGGUCUUGACCUCCUGGGCAUAAGUGAUCUGCCUGCCUCAGCCUCCUAAAGUGCUGGGGUUACAGGAACAAGCCAUCAUGCCCAGCCUUCAUUCCCUUUUCUUGGCUGAAUAAUAUUCCACUGUAUGGAUAUACCACAUACCAUUUAUCCAUUCAUCAGAUGAUGGACAUUUGAGUUGUUUCUACUUUUUGGCUAUUAUGAAUAAUAUUGCUAUAAACAUCCAUAUAUGUGUGCACAUACGUUCUCAUUUCUCUUGGUAUAUAUGCCUAAGAGUGGAAUUUCUGGGUCUUCUGAGAACUUUAUGUGUAGAGUUUCCACAUGUUUAAGGAACUGCCAGACUGGUUUCCAAAGAGGCUGCACAAUUCUACAUUCCCACCAACAGUGUAUGAUGGUUCAUUUUCUUCCUUGCCAACACUUGUUAUGUUUUUGAUUAUAGCCAUCUUAGUGUGUAUGAAGUAGUAUCUCACACUGGUUUUGAUUUGCAUUUCCUGAUGACUCAUCCUGUUGAACAUCUUUUCAUGUGCUUAUUGGCCAUUUGUUUAUCUUCUUUGGAGAAAUGUCUAUUCAGAGCCUUUGUCCAUUAAAAGAUACUGGGUUAUCUGUCACUUUACUAUUGAGUUAUAAGACUUCUUUGUAUUAAUAUAUUCUAGAUACAAGUCUCUUACAGGAUAUGUGACUUGCAAGUGUUUUCUUCUAUUCUGUGGUUUUCACCUUCCUGAUAGUGUCCUUUGAUGCACAAAAGUUUUCAAUUUUGAUGAAUUCUAACUUAUGUAUUUUUGAUUUUGUUACCCAUAUCUUUGCUGUCAUAUCUAAAAAUCCACUGCCAAAUCUGAGGUAAUUAUGAUUUACUUCUAUGCUUUCUUUAAGGGCUUUAUAAUUUUGGUUCUAAUAUUUAGGUAUUUGACCCACUUUGAGUUAAUUUUUGUAUGUGGUGUUUGGGUAGGAGUCCAAAUUCAUUCUUUUGCAUGUGGCUAUCCAAUUGUCCCAGCACCAUUUGUUGAAGACUAUUCUUUCCCCAUUAAAUGGCCUUGGCGCCUCUGUUGAAAAUCAGUUGACCAUACUGGAUUCUCAGUUCUGUUUGAUUGAUCUCAUAUGUCUCUCCUUAUGCCAGUACCACACCGUCUUGAUUUUUGUUGCUUUGUAGUAACUUUUGAAAUCUGGCAAUGUGAGUCCUCCAACUUCAUUCCUCUGUUUCAAGAUUGUUUUGGCUAUUUUGGCUGGGUCUCUUGCAAUGCCAUAUGAAUUAAAAAUGUUUGCCAAUUUCGGCUGGGCGCGAUGGCUCACACCUGUAAUCCCGGCCGAGGCAGGAGUGAGCCACCACGCCCGGCCAGUUUCUGUCUCUU
rnacentral:lncRNA from 10 species